rnacentral:misc_RNA from 1 species
AACGCACAUUGCGCCCCGUGGUAUUCCGCGGGGCAUGCCUGUUCGAGCGUCAUUUAAACCAAUCCAGCGUGCUGGGUGUUGGGCGCCGCCUCCGGGCGGGCCUUGAAAUCAGUGGCGGCGCCGUCCGGCUCUAAGCGUAGUAAUACUUCUCGCUAUAGGGCUCGGGCGGACGCUGGCCAGCAACCCCCAAUUCUUAAGGUUGACCUCGGAUCAGGUAGGGAUACCCGCUGAACUUAA